ensembl:lncRNA
GAAAGCACCAAACAGAUGGCAAUUCUUAUCUUUGUUUCCUGACAGAUGCCUGGCACCGUUCUACAAGCUUUCAAGAACACCAGUGACCAGGUUCCACUCUUUCUUUUACGACUUUGUACCUCCCAUUUUGCAGAGCCAUGAUCUGCUUUACAAAAUUCUGUUUGCUGGCUAGAGCUAUGUGGAGAGCCAUUGGAGAAGCCACAUAAGAGGGAGAGGCCCUGAGAGACAAGCCUGGCCAUCCCAGCAUCCCAGCCAAAUCCAGGUCCCUGAUGACCUACCAGCUGGAUAAUCCACAUGAGCAGCCAUUGGUUGCAGGGAGAUGACAGCUGUAUAUGAACCAGGAAGUGGGUCUCACCAGACACAGAAUCUGCUGUUGCCUUCAUUGUGAACUCUCCAGCUUUCAGAACUUCGAGAAAUAAGUGUGUGUUGUUUAUGCACAAAGUCAAAUGUAUUUUGUUACAGUUGCCCAAACUAACUAGGACACGGGUUUGUAUACAUAUUAGGAAAUUGAUGUAGAGUGCGGGACUGUCUGUAUUUUAGGUAGAAUUUAAAAAAGUAGAGUUAAAAUAAAAGAUGUAAGACUGAAGUGAAG